GGGGCCGAAAGGUUUCGACAGGCACAACUGAACAGCGACCGCGAGCCGAGGAAUGACGGACACCUCGUGAAACAUGCCGUCACCCGAUAGACGCCAACCAGAAGCGUUCAGACUUCGCCCUCGCGGUGUGAGUCCGGGGCCACAGCGGAAGUCUCCGCCGCUGUGAACCCGUCAUCCACGGAGACUGAGACCCCGACCGUGUGCUACCGGAGGGCGGGGCGAGACAGCACCGGCGGCGAAGCAAGCGGCACCAGUCCGCUCAGGUGACUGGCCGCCCAAGACUCAUACCUGAGACACGCUCGUAGACGUCGGUGUGAUGCGGUGCCUGGACGCGGGUUCGAUUCCCGCCGGCUCCACCU
rnacentral:tmRNA from 1 species